AUGUCUGUUUAUUUGCUUUAAUUAAUGUGUUUGUAAUAUAAAACUACCCUCAGUAUAUGGUUAGACUUUUAACUUCUUAACAACGAUGGAUUAACCUGUAAAUUACUAGGAUGUUUCUAAGGCCUUAAAAAAGUCCGGCAAAAUCACAGGACGUCUUGAUGGCCAUCUCCGAGGUGGGGUUAAUGAAGAAGUUUUAAGAAUACAGGUUAAAAGGAAGAGAUGAACGGGGUAGUAACCUAAAAAAAAAAAAAAAAGGGAAAACAGGAUACAUAUAAGAUAAACAUGAUAAGACACGAGUAAGAGGGAGUACUGAGUAGGAUUUACAAAAAUCUUAAUUUCUGCCAUUAUACUACUCUGCUGUUACCAGUUCUACUGAUAUUAUUGUCAUUUCUGUUGCUUUUGUUUUCCUAUUUAUUUUUGGUAUCAGAGCGAGAAGUUUUUUGGGAAGUAACUGUUUAAUGAGAAGACCGCUACAUAGUACUCAAAUACAUUUAGAAACAAAACGAAAGUUGGAAAACUUAUACCUCGAAUAUAAGAGACUAAAUAGUACUAAAGAAGACAAUAUAAUGUUAGAUUAUCUAAUAGAAAUAAUAUCUAGACUAGAAUAUAAAUUUAUUACACAGUUAAAAUCUAGACAAAAAAUAAUAUAUGAAAAAACACCCUUUUGCUAAUCAAAUACGACUAAGAUAUUGGUAUCUAUACAGAGAAAUACAAAUAAAAUCAGAGUGGUUAAAAUUAAAACAGGCUUUAAGUUUAUAUUUAAAAGUAUUAGAAACAAGAGACUUAGUAGAUAGACUCGGUAAUCACGGAGGCCUAUACACAGUAAACAGACAG
rnacentral:lncRNA from 1 species